rnacentral:sRNA from 1 species
GUUGGGUGUGGCGGGGCACACCUGUAGUCCCAGCCGCCGGGGAGGCUAGGGAGGGGAUCACUUGGCCAGUUCAGGACCAGCCUGGACCGCAGCAAGACCCUGUCUCA